CCUACGGGGGGCAGCAGUGAGGAAUAUUGGUCAAUGGGCGCGAGCCUGAACCAGCCAAGUAGCGUGAAGGAUGACUGCCCUACGGGUUGUAAACUUCUUUUAUAAAGGAAUAAAGUGAGGCACGUGUGCCUUUUUGUAUGUACUUUAUGAAUAAGGAUCGGCUAACUCCGUGCCAGCAGCCGCGGUAAUACGGAGGAUCCGAGCGUUAUCCGGAUUUAUUGGGUUUAAAGGGAGCGUAGAUGGGUUGUUAAGUCAGUUGUGAAAGUUUGCGGCUCAACCGUAAAAUUGCAAUUGAUACUGGCAGUCUUGAGUACAGUUGAGGUAGGCGGAAUUCGUGGUGUAGCGGUGAAAUGCUUAGAUAUCACGAAGAACACCGGUGGCGAAGGCGGCUAUCUGGCCAUUUACUGACGCUGAGGCUCGAAAGCAUGGGGAUCAAACAGGAUUAGAUACCCCAGUAGUC
rnacentral:rRNA from 1 species